GCUCAGUAAAAAGACAGAAACUGAGAAAAUUCUAACUCUUUAAAAAUCAGCCAUUUUUGCCCGAGAGGAUGCAAGUUGAAAACGUCUUUGUUUUUUCACUCACAAUUUUAUUUCUGUUCUCACACCCCACCCUCCUUUACAUGAAUAUUAAGGACUAAGGCUUUAGCAACAGGCUUUUGGUUGUGGGGGAGCGAGGGGUAAAGGGAAAAGUGUUGUGUAUGGCUUUUCAUAUGCUAAUAAGUUGAUUCCAUGACAACCAUUGAAAAAAGAAGGGCUGGAAACAAAAGCUGCAGCCAGAGAGAGGAUCAGGGCUCUUUCAGGGACGCUGUAAGAAUAACAGCCAAGACUCCCUCCUCUGAAAGGUAUCUGAUGGCUGCUUGUCAAUGGGCUUUGUUUUAAUAGUGCAGAGUCAGUAUAUAAUUAAUGCAGACUUUUAUGAAUCCAGAUUUUACCCUCAAUGUUGCUUCUAUUUUAAAAAGUAGUGAAUAAGAAUCUGAAACCAAGAGGAUGUCAAAUCACUUCUCUCAUGAUCAUACACUUCAGUUUUACGUAAAAAGGUCAAGGGCUUUUAUCUUUGAGUGAUACAGUGUUUUCUCUGUUUGGAUGGACACAAGAGCUUUCAUCACAAUGGAAUGCUUAUGGAAUCACAUAUUUCAAAGGACACUAACACGAAAAUACAACUUCAUUCAGAGACAGGUUACAAUGAUGAAUA
rnacentral:lncRNA from 1 species